UACGUAGGAGGCAAGCGUUGUCCGGAAUUACUGGGCGUAAAGCGCGUGUAGGUGGUGGGACAAGUCUGCUGUGAAAGCGCCUGGCUUAACCGGGCGAGGUCGGCGGAAACUGUCCGACUCGAGGACGGUAGAGGGGGGGUGGAAUUCCCGGUGUAGUGGUGAAAUGCGCAGAUAUCGGGAAGAACACCCGUGGCGAAGGCGGCUCUCUGGGACGGUACUGACGCUGAGACGCGAAAGCGUGGGGAGCGAACAGG
rnacentral:rRNA from 1 species